UACGUAGGGUGCAAGCGUUGUCCGGAAUUAUUGGGCGUAAAGAGCUCGUAGGUGGUCUGUCACGUCGGCUGUGAAAUCCCGAGGCUCAACCUCGGGUCUGCAGUCGAUACGGGCAAACUAGAGUAUUGCAGGGGAGACUGGAAUUCCUGGUGUAGCGGUGAAAUGCGCAGAUAUCAGGAGGAACACCGGUGGCGAAGGCGGGUCUCUGGGCAAUAACUGACGCUGAGGAGCGAAAGCGUGGGGAGCGAACAGG
rnacentral:rRNA from 1 species